rnacentral:rRNA from 1 species
CAGUCGAGCGAGCUUGCCUAGAUGAUUUUAGUGCUUGCACUAAAUGAAACUAGAUACAAGCGAGCGGCGGACGGGUGAGUAACACGUGGGUAACCUGCCCAAGAGACUGGGAUAACACCUGGAAACAGAUGCUAAUACCGGAUAACAACACUAGACGCAUGUCUAGAGUUUGAAAGAUGGUUCUGCUAUCACUCUUGGAUGGACCUGCGGUGCAUUAGCUAGUUGGUAAGGUAACGGCUUACCAAGGCAAUGAUGCAUAGCCGAGUUGAGAGACUGAUCGGCCACAUUGGGACUGAGACACGGCCCAAACUCCUACGGGAGGCAGCAGUAGGGAAUCUUCCACAAUGGACGAAAGUCUGAUGGAGCAACGCCGCGUGAGUGAAGAAGGGUUUCGGCUCGUAAAGCUCUGUUGGUAGUGAAGAAAGAUAGAGGUAGUAACUGGCCUUUAUUUGACGGUAAUUACUUAGAAAGUCACGGCUAACUACGUGCCAGCAGCCGCGGUAAUACGUAGGUGGCAAGCGUUGUCCGGAUUUAUUGGGCGUAAAGCGAGUGCAGGCGGUUCAAUAAGUCUGAUGUGAAAGCCUUCGGCUCAACCGGAGAAUUGCAUCAGAAACUGUUGAACUUGAGUGCAGAAGAGGAGAGUGGAACUCCAUGUGUAGCGGUGGAAUGCGUAGAUAUAUGGAAGAACACCAGUGGCGAAGGCGGCUCUCUGGUCUGCAACUGACGCUGAGGCUCGAAAGCAUGGGUAGCGAACAGGAUUAGAUACCCUGGUAGUCCAUGCCGUANACGAUGAGUGCUAAGU